UUAGAACAAAGUCACUUGUCUGUUGUAGUGACAACAUAAUUGUUCUUGUCUUUAGCUAAUCUUGUGGGACUGUUAAACAAUAACCUAUGAGCUUAAACCUUGUCUCUUCAGUUUUAUAUGCAUUUAAGCAUAACACUAAAUAUUACACUGUUCAGAUCAAAGCAAAUAAAAGCUACCAUAAUCAGGAUCAAAGGUAACAAAGUUAAAAACUGUGUAAAAAGGAGCUCAACACAUGUUCAAAGCUCCUCUUAACUCAAUGCACAACAGAGUGGGGAAAAACGGGAAAGCUUUGUGUUUAACUCGUCGUUUUUACGUGACUGGAUACUGCAAACUGUUUUAUCUGCCGCCUUCUGAAUUUCCCGAGAGACUUCCUUUAGCAGCUCCUCAGAGUUGGGAAUAUCUUCAAGAAGAGGAUGCAUGAUGUCACUCAACUCAUCGUUGAUUUUACUGAUCGCCUGUGAAGAUGAUGAUUUUUUGGUUCCUUUCGAUGUCACAGUUCUGCUUUUCCAUGGCCGAGGAGCAAUAAAAGUUUUGAUCUUGCCUGAGAACUUUUGGAAAAGGUGAGUAAGUUGAUCAGUCAUGGCAUUCAGUCUGCCAACAGGUGUCAAACGUUUGGUGAUUCCAGCUUUUCCACCACUGAUGAGGUUGUAUUUGACCUCCUCGUGAAUUACACCUGUCAGGGACUUUAAACUGAUGUUGUCCACCUCAUCAGGAAUUCCCAAAGCUUCUGAAAAUGUUUGAGGAAGAGAGACUUCCAGCUCAAACAGAAGAUGCUCCUCAGUCUUUGGUCUCCCCGAUUUCAUUGAUGCCACAACAGAGUUGGAAAGAGCCGCGAUAAUUUCCAAAAUCAACUCUGCAACUAAAACUUUAGUGGCAUCAUCUGCUGAACCUGACAGGAAUGAUCUCCAUUGUUCUGCGGUCGUCUUUUCAAGGAAGGACCGCAUCAUUGGGUGAACAAUGUUUAGAACAAAGUCACUUGUCUGUUGUAGUGACAACAUAAUUGUUCUUGUCUUUAGCUAAUCUUGCGGGACUGUUAAACAAUAACCUAUGAGCUUAAACCUUGUCUCUUCAGUUUUAUAUGCAUUUAGGCAUAACACUAAAUAUUACACUGUUCAGAUCAAAGCAAGUAAAAGGUACCAUAAUCAGGAUCAAAGGUAACAAAGUUAAAAACUGUGUAAAAAGGAGCUCAACACAUGUUCAAAGCUCCUCUUAACUCAAUGCACAACAGAGUGGGGAAAAACGGGAAAGCUUUGUGUUUAACUCGUCGUUUUUACG
rnacentral:lncRNA from 1 species